rnacentral:sRNA from 1 species
UUUUUAAAACGUGGUUUAAAAACUCACAAAAAAAUCUGAGGUUUUUUUAUAGGGAGAUUUGCAAAACUACCCUUUUUUACUACCCUUUUGCAACAAUACUCUUUUAUGUUGUCCAUUUUUAAAAAUAUACUUUCCCUUGAACAGAAUGACCAAAUUACCCUCAUCUAAUAGGAACAUGUAAUUGGAAACUGAAAUUUUCCCGCCAAAUUUUGGGCGCCAAAAUUUAUUUUUUCCGCCAAAAACAAAUUUCCGCCAAACAUUUUUCCGGUAAAUUUCCGACAAAUUUUUUGUAUUUCAAAAAGCUUAUUUUCUGUGUUUUUACUUUUUAGUUAAAAACAGAGAAUAAUAAAUAAUACUAAUAA